UUUCAGACAGGUGAAUGAUCUUCUUUUCAACUCUGCUUGGAAGAUUGCCUUUGGCUGCAUGGAAUUAUGCUUCUAGUAUCAAUAGAGGAACAACAGGUAAGUGACCUGCCCAUGUGCCAGUAGAAAAAUCACUUCUAUGCCCUCAAAACAGCUCUCAAAGCCUGUCUAAUACUGCCAGCAGAAGUCUCUUGUAGGAGACCAUGCAAGGUUUGAGGCAAUAGAAAGCUGUUGGCUGGAGUCUGUCUUAUAACUUCUUUUGCAUAUAUCUCCAAACUUCUUUCUUUCCUAUAUAUCCGCAAACUUCUUUCAUCUUUGUGUGGCUGAAAAUAGAGCUAUUUUUCAUGCUUACCCGUCUAAUGUCAGUAUACUUGAAGAAUGGAAUGUAAUGUAGGAGGGAGACAUCAACUUGUUCUUGUACUCAGUUUUAGUUGAAUUGAUUUUGCAGAGGAGGAAAGUUGCGUACGUAGUCCUCCUCCCCAUUCCAGGUUUCUUUGUGAUACAUUCACCUCCAGCCCUUUCCCCCACAUCCCUUUGAAAAGUACUGUGUAUUUAGUUCUCAAAACCCUUAGCAAUAAUGCAGGUAUACGACGUAGCUUGAGUAAAUUUGAGAAAGGCUCUAUAAUUUCAACAGUCAUGUAGCUCCUCCUUGUAAUGAAGUUCCUUGCUCCAUGUUAACGCAGUUUUCGCUGUCUUUACUGUUGCUGUACAACACACUUCAGUCAUGAAAAAGAAAUGUUCUCUAUGGAUUGCAGAAUUUUCUUCUUGAUCCUUAUUUUUUUUUUUUUUCUGUUCCUGUGAUCUCUUUCCUCUCAGUUCUAGGUUUGAGAUCUGCUUUACUUAAUGUAAAAUGCCUGGCAAGAGCAGACUGAACAGAAACUAACAAGAUAGACUUCUGAUCAAUCAUGUUACAAAAAGAAGAGUAAUCAAACUAGAAAAGGAACAGAGGAAGGGCUGCUGUGGGAAUGCAAAAGAAAAAUGAGGUGAAGUCCAUUUGAAGAACCCCGUUUGAAGAUCCUGUAGUUAUCAGAAAUAAUCAAAUGCUGGAACUGGAACUGGAAGCCAUGUCAGUAUGAAUAGUACUAAAGCUAAUUGUCCUGCUGUGAUGCUGAGAUCAGCUGAUAUCUCCAUGGUGUUUAUGAGCUACUGCAUGCAACUGGCACUUUGCUUCGUUUCUUGGAAUAGAUUGAGGAUCUCUGCAGCGUAUGGCAGAAGGGUGGUCACAGCAUUGUUCUCUCUUUUGUAUAUAUUGAGCUGUUGACAACCAGAAGAUGCCAAUGCUUCUCUUGUUUCUGCCACUACUAGAGCUGGAAGUUUCAUUUUACCAUUCUGGCUUAUGUUUUGCAAGCACACAAAGAGGCAGACCAAAAGGCUCUUCUGAGCAUGUAAGACUUCAGUCCCCUAUAUUGUGUUGGGAUGAGCUUUGCUUUGGAUCCUUAGCCUCAAAUGCUAAGUAGCUAUAAACAACUUGCAAGCAGGGGCAUGAGAACUGCAUCCGCGCACGCUGGCAUCCUUGUCCUUUUGUCAUGUGGUAUUUGGAGCCUGCACCACAGCACCUUUGCCAGGCACACUGGCUGAGUGCUUGGGGCUCUGGGGCAGCCCACAAGGGACCUGCAGAGGUUUUGGUAGGUUACAGGUGAUCAAAUUUACAAGGGGAGGAAAAAAGAAGAAGCUAUCACUUGUUCAGAAGACUGUUACAGGAUUGGUGAUAAACAAAUCUCACAUGUUUUCUGCUCCAUUCUUUGGGUCAAGAAUACACUGGUUAAUAGCCAAUUAUUUCAUACCCUAAGGAAAUUUUGGGAAAGAAGUUCCUGGGGAGACUCAACUUGUUUUAGGAAAUCAGGCUAAUAUUCAGUAGGUGAGACAUUUCCCUUUGCUUUCCUUCUUAAUACUGUCCCAUGCCAGCACAAGGCUGAAUUUAUUGCUAUAAUAGGUAUUGUUCAGAUAGCGCAUAAUAGUUUCCCUGAUUUUAUUUUUCUUCUUCUCAAAAAGUGAAGGUUUAGCCAGGGCAUUGCAGCAAAAUUCCAGUUAGGUAAUUAAAUUCUGCUUAGUGAAAAUACCCCUUUUAAAAUCUGUCCCAGAAUAGAGUCUGCUUUUCCUGUGAGCACUUUAAAAGGACUGAUUCAUUUUAACUUCACAGCUAUCCAAAUUCUGAAGCCUGCUGAAAUUAGCCGUGACUGCCUAAACCAAAAUGUGCAGUUCCACUUGAGGUAUCAAAAGGUACAUUUUUGCAUGCUUCAUUGUUGUAUGAAUUCUUGUUUAGAUAUAAUUCACAUAGACUCAACCUAUGUAACAAAUCAUUCAGAUUCUGCUGACUGGCAGAAGUAAAUUAUUUGCACAGGAAAAGCAAACACUAUUUAAAACUAUAUUUUUAUUAACAUGUAGAGUAGGCUGUGAAUAAAUUCAGUUUGUGCAUCAGGGGCCAUUUUGCAUGUUCAAAAAUACGAUAGUGAAAAAAAUAAAGGCUGAAAGAUAGUCUGAGGUGUGCAGUCUGGAAAUGCAAUCCAGAACAGAUGUUCCACAGUAUAAAUUACUGCAAUUUUUUUUUUUUAAUUUACUUGUGCUACUUUAAUUUAUUAUUGUUUAUUCACUUGAUAGAUGGCAUUUAAUUUCACUGUGAGAGCUUCAGGAUGAGUGUUUGAUGCUGAUGGCUCAAAUUUAUUCCUGGGCAGAAAGCCAACGUGCCACAGCCAUGUUCCACUUAUGCCCUCCAAGCUACAUUUAAGUGGCCUUCUGUUGCCCUUGGGGUAUGUUUUACACAGGAAGCUUAAAGCCUUAUGCAGGCCUGCAGCUUACUCACUAGAGCGAGUGAAAGAUGGCUUUGCCUCUUCUGAUCUCUUCAGGAAGAAAAUCAAAUAAUUGGAUUACUGGCCCUUUGAUUGUGCUCUGUACAGAUGGUUCAAAAUCCCAUUGUAUUGGACCUCUGAGAUGAAAUGUAAAUUGAUAAAGAAAACAAAUGUUUUAAAUUGG